rnacentral:rRNA from 1 species
GAGUCGGACCUGCCCAGUGAAUAUAUUUUAACGGCCGCGGUACUCUGACCGUGCAAAGGUAGCAUAAUCAUUUGCCCUAUAAUUGAGGGCUAGUAUGAAUGGUUUGACGUGAACAAAGCUGUCUCUAUGUAAUUUUUUAGAACUUGAUUUCUAGGUGAGGAAACCUAGAUUUAAUUGAAAGACAAGAAGACCCUAUUGAGCUUUAAAAAAAUAAAUUGAAAAUAAUAUAUAAUUUUAAAUAUUAAUCUAUUUUAGAUUUUGGUUGGGGCGACUAUGGAACAAAUAAAGCUUCUUUAUUAAUCAAUAAGACUUACAAGUGUUGAUCCAGAAAUUUUGAUCAAUGGAAUUAGUUACCAUAGGGAUAACAGCAUAAUUCUCUUUGAGAGCCCUUAUCGAAAAGAGAGUUUGUGACCUCGAUGUUGGACUAGAAUAUCCUAAAGAUGCAGCAGUCUUUAAGGGUUGGUC